rnacentral:misc_RNA from 1 species
GAAUAACUAAAGAAGUAGAAAGUGAGCGCCAUUUUUAACGAGAAAAACCGGAGCUCUAAAAUAUAGCAUUUUCGUAUCUCAGCAAAAGUGUUCAAGAAAUAUGAGCAUUGGCAUAGCUUCUUCAUCCGACUCUGUAAUUAAAUGGAGCACAGAAGGCUGGAGUAUUGAACCCAGUCUUGAAAAAUCCGGACAGUCGACGGUGUUGCUGGAAUGCCAUGUCAAUGAGACAGCCCGGCAAGCUAUAAAGAUAAUCAAUGUUGGAAAAACGGAAGCGCUUUAUUUUGAAAUUAUAAGGUGUUCAAAAAAUUCUUCGUUUGAAAAACGCAUAAGAUUGCUCAAACCGGUUUUCUUUGUUGAUCAUAGGAAAGGUUCUGUUCUACCUGGAGGUUCCUUUCAAAUCAACAUUACUUUUAAGUCAGGUGAGUCAGGGAUAUUUAAAGAGACGUGGGAGAUACAGGCCUUCCACUUUUCAACAAAAACUAAAGCUAUUUGCGUGGCUCUGAAUGGUUUGGCAACUGAAACUGAUGAAACAGUUGCAAAAGAACAAAAAAGGAUAGAGAUGGUUUUAACACAUAGAAUAGCCCAGAAGGUUGCCUCUCAACUAGUUGAGAACCUCACACUGCAGGCAUCUGUUAUGAACAAAGAACCUAAAUUUCUCCCAAUGUCUUGGAAAAGGACGCCUCACCAGAAGUUUUUAUGUUUUAAAAUAUACGCCUCUUCACCAUACCAAAUUGUUUACAGUUUGUUGGCUGAUUUUAUUGAAAAUACCAACGAUGUGAGAGCAGUAUUACGUGCAGCUUUUGGACUUGUUGAAACGAAUGAUAAAGACAAACAUGAAAUGUCCAGAAAUGAAAAAAAGACACAGAGUAAAUCAAAGAAGAGAGCUUCAGGCAGUCGAGAUGGAAAAUUGAAAGAUCAAGGAGGUAAGAAAGAAAUAAGCAGAAAAAUGUCAGAAGAAUGUACAGAGAAAUACCACCAUGAACAUAUUAUGGAAACGACUUCAAAGAAAUACAAACAGCUGUUACUAUUACAGGAAUGUGGAUCAACUUGGGGACUAGGACCAUCCAGAAAGAAACCUUCAGUAGUUUGUACUCCUGCCAGGGUUAGUAAAGUUUGGAUCUUGUGAACAGUAAGAGUCCAUGAACACAAAUGGCAGUGGUAGAAACAGUAUUCAACAUAAUCAAGAAGUAUUUCCAUCCAGGAAAGUGACAUGUAAGUCAUAUACACAGUGAAUGAUUCUAUGACAUAUGUGUUCAGGUGCUGUGUACCUCUGUGGUGUAUAAAAAUUCCAUGUAUUUUUAUCUUCUUGUAUUAGUAUGAUAUUUAUUCGGAAUUUAUUUUUUAUUGUGUUUAUCACCAGGCUUCACAUAAUAUGUGUUUCAGAAAGUUGUUAAGUUGGUUCAUUCUAAUUACCUUUAUUACUUUGUUAUUCUCAAGAAAAUAAUACCUGUUUUGCUGCAAUACUGCAUUAUAUGCAAGGAUAUGGACAACAUUGUCCUUCAGUGGUUGUUCAGGUGAUAUCUCGUGGAUAGAGCCUCACCUAUUUUGGAAUUAGAGUGACCAUCCACGCGAGAAGCUGUAGUCACUUUGGAUAAAUACGAUGUUUCUUAUGAAGUAAGGAACAUUGGACUUAGCCAGUGUGAUACGUGAAUUCGGCCUGAGCUGUUAAAUGUAGAACAUCCAGUAAAAGCAAUCAUCCCAUGUCAGUGUUGCAUUUGCUAACAAAGACAAUUGAACAAGUGUCUUCUAGUCUCCUGUAUUUUGACAAAUGAGUUCAUCCACGUACACUC